rnacentral:rRNA from 1 species
AUUGAACGCUGGCGGCAGGCCUAACACAUGCAAGUCGAGCGGCAACGGGAAAGUAGCUUGCUACUUUUGCCGGCGAGCGGCGGACGGGUGAGUAAUGCCUGGGAAAUUGCCCAGUCGAGGGGGAUAACAGUUGGAAACGACUGCUAAUACCGCAUACGCCCUACGGGGGAAAGCAGGGGACCUUCGGGCCUUGCGCGAUUGGAUAUGCCCAGGUGGGAUUAGCUAGUUGGUGAGGUAAUGGCUCACCAAGGCGACGAUCCCUAGCUGGUCUGAGAGGAUGAUCAGCCACACUGGAACUGAGACACGGUCCAGACUCCUACGGGAGGCAGCAGUGGGGAAUAUUGCACAAUGGGGGAAACCCUGAUGCAGCCAUGCCGCGUGUGUGAAGAAGGCCUUCGGGUUGUAAAGCACUUUCAGCGAGGAGGAAAGGUCAGUAGCUAAUAUCUACUGGCUGUGACGUUACUCGCAGAAGAAGCACCGGCUAACUCCGUGCCAGCAGCCGCCGUAACAC